UUCCCAAUACGGGAAUCGAACCCGGGUCCUAGUGGUCGAAAACCAACGGUAUAGACCAUCCUUCCACCAACCCCCGUAAGUA